rnacentral:tRNA from 1 species
GGCGCUUUCAUCUAGGGGUCUAGGAUACGUGCCUCUCACGCAUGUCACACGGGUUCGAAUCCCGUAGGCGCUACCA